GUGGAAUCAGAGGGCUUCGG
rnacentral:miRNA from 1 species